rnacentral:rRNA from 1 species
AUGCACCAAACACGUAAUACUCCCUCCGUCCCGGAAAACAUGUCGUGGCGGCAUUUUUGCAAAAAAACCUCUAGUUUCUCCCGACCAAACCCGCGAUCCUCGUCCUCGUCCUCCGACAGAAGCAGCAGCGAAGCAAAUGAAAACCUCGAGGAUGCUGGGAAUGAACUCAUCUUGUCUGAUGAAGAUGUGGUGCGAUUCCAAAUCGGGGAAUUGUUUGCCCACAUGCGAGUGGACGAUGUGGAAGCUAGGCUAGAGCAGAUGAGGUUUGCAGUUUUUCAGUUCAGUCUUCAUUCUACUAAUACCAGAUAUUCUUCCAUUCAUCAUAACUGUUAUUGUUUAUUCUUUUAA